UGCGUGGAGGCAAGCCAGGUGACAGAGCUGUUGCAGACGCUGAUUACUGUGAGCCAGAGCCAUAGUGUUGUUGUGCACUGAACAGAACGGAAUUGGCCAGGUGACCCUUUUUGGGUAUGAAAAAGGAUGGCGAGCCAAUGAACGGCUAGGAGCAGGACUCAUUCUGCAUUUUAGCUUCCACUGGACUGGUAGGAAGCUAUCAAAGACGACGCUCUGUCCCCAUUUCCCAAACACACUGAUUUCCACAAUCAUACACACCAUUCCCCCCGUUUAUGGACAAUAGCGCUUGGACAUCUCUCAUGGACAUUCAGAUGAAACUCAUGGACUUCAGUGUGGAUCAGUGGUUUGGAUGUUAACAUGUGUUACUUAUGGGGAACUGUUUUUUGUUUUUGAGAAUCUAUAUUGCUUGGUAUAAGCCAUAAGCCUGAAGAAUUUGCUUAGUUGUCUUUGCAUCCCCACUGGGUUUUUGAUUUAUUGAAUAGCUGCAGCAGGAAUGAUUAUUUAAGUUUUCCUUAUCUUUUCUUGUUAUUUUCGGUUAAAUACAUGGUACCUGCAAAAGCAUUUUGCGUUGUGUGUAUUUAUUAAUUACUGCCCAUCAGCUCCAGUAGCAUUCCUAAAUCUUCUGAUUAAUAAUAACCAUAACAUUUCACUUAAUACCUAGUCUGUAUUAAUUCAUUAGCGCUUCAUCAGUGUUACAUUUCUUGGCGAGCCAGCCAGGAGCUGAUUUGGUUAGUAAUUAAUAUAUAUUCAAACUCACCAAUUCAUUUUCCCCAUAAUGGAAGUUUUUGAGACGCUUGCCAUUAAGAUCCCAAACGCGGUUUUAAUUGACGGA
ensembl:lncRNA